UACGUAGGGGGCAAGCGUUGUCCGGAUUUAUUGGGCGUAAAGAGCGUGUGGGCGGCCAGGUAGGUCUGCUGUGAAAACUCGAGGCUCAACCUCGAGACGUCGGCGGAAACCAUCUGGCUAGAGUCCGGAAGAGGAGAGUGGAAUUCCUGGUGUAGCGGUGAAAUGCGCAGAUAUCAGGAAGAACACCCGUGGCGAAGGCGGCUCUCUGGGACGGUACUGACGCUGAGACGCGAAAGCGUGGGGAGCGAACAGG
rnacentral:rRNA from 1 species